rnacentral:rRNA from 1 species
UGGGGAAUUUUGGACAAUGGGGGCAACCCUGAUCCAGCAAUGCCGCGGGUGUGAAGAAGGCCUUCGGGUUGUAAAGCACUUUUGUCCGGGAAGAAAUCGCACCUGAUAAUACCGGGUGUGGAUGACGGUACCGGAAGAAUAAGGACCGGCUAACUACGUGCCAGCAGCCGCGGUAAUACGUAGGGUCCAAGCGGUAAUCGGAAUUACUGGGCGUAAAGCGUGCGCAGGCGGUUGUGCAAGACCGAUGUGAAAUCCCCGGGCUUAACCUGGGAAUUGCAUUGGUGACUGCACGGCUAGGGUGUGUCAGAGGGGGGUAGAAUUCCACGUGUAGCAGUGAAAUGCGUAGAGAUGUGGAGGAAUACCGAUGGCGAAGGCAGCCCCCUGGGAUAACACUGACGCUCAUGCACGAAAGCGUGGGGAGCAAACAGG